UUACGGCCAUAUCACGUUGAAAUACCGGUUCUCAUACGAUCACUGAAGUUAAGCAACAGAGCCUGGUCAGCAUCUCGAUGGGUGACCGCUUAGGAAUAUCAAGUGCUGUAAG